rfam:Schistosoma curassoni strain Dakar, Senegal genome assembly, scaffold: SCTD_contig0000401
AUCCAGCUGACGAGGCACAAAUAAGAUUAAACGCGCUUCCUGGAU